AUGUGUAUGAUUUAACCCAGCACAAGCUGCUCCCAGGGUGUUCAGUGCUGGUGGCCACCCACCCCACUGCAUUACAUUUAUUGGAAAAGUCAGAGGUCAGCAUCUGGGCAGAAAUCCAGAGAUUCAUUGGUGAGGAAAUGAAGGAAUAUUUCCACAGGUUUUUUGAAGAUCAGAUGGUGGCAGUAGCUGUUUUCAAACACGUGGAGGAGAACAAGAUCCUGUACACAAUGAGCUACAGCCCCUCCUACUGCUGGAUCCUCAGUCUGCACUGGGCCCAUUCUUCACACAAAGACACAGGGACCCGCAAUGAGUUUCCAAAGCCAUCACCCAACUAUAUUCCUACUAUAUUUACAACAUCCUGAAAAACCACGGCCAUGAGAUUGAAAUCCCACAUGAUGUAUUACUGAGGGUUGGUCAGAUGGCCUUCACCGGAGUGUCCAAGAGGAAAAUUGUGUUUACAGAUGGAGAUUUGAUCAAGUACAAUUUGCAGCCUUCCCAGAUCUUGUCCAGGUUCCUGAUGGAACUUUUGGAGAGAGAGGAUUGUGCCUGGAGUAUGGUGUACACAUUCCCACACCACACCAUCCAAGAGUUUGUAGCUGCACUCACACAAUUCCUGACUCCAGAUCCCAGGGGUAUUCUAAAACUCCUCACUGAAGCCCACAGCAUGACAGAUAGGUGAUUUGAGGUAUUUCUCCAUUUUGUUGCUGGUCUCUCCUCCCCAGGGUCAGCUCGGGGGCAGGAGGAGUUUCUGGGUCCAUUUCCUCAUCAAACAAUCUGCCGAGUGAUUGACUGGAUGAAGGAAGAAGUUAAAUGUCUGAUCAGGUACACAGGGAGUGAAGCUGGUAAAAGGAGGUUCCUGAACACAUUGCACUACCUGUUUGAGUUGUAGAACCAUGGACUGGCUCAAGCCGCACUGGGAUCUGUGAGAGAACUUUCAUUUUGUGAAAUAUGACUGAUCCCAAUUGACUAUGCAGUCCUGUCUCAUGUCAUUGGGCUCUGUGAUACAAUAAAAAUGCCUCAAGCUGUGGAACUGCCACAUUCAGUGUGAAGGACUCCAGCGACUGGGAACUGAGCUGCAUGAGUGCCAGGAGUUGGGGUUACUGUUACUUUGUCUCUUGCUCUAAAUUUUAAAAUUGUCUUGCUUUUGUUUCUUCUGAAUGGAAGAUUUUUGGCUAAAAUUACCAAAAUGCAAAUUCAGCACAACUUUGACACAACAAGUCUGUGUGUUAAUGGUCUCAGAGCUUGUGCUCAGGAUCUCGCCUCUGCUCUUGGUACAAACUGGUCAUUGAUAAACCUGUACCUGGGUUUUAAUCAGCUGGGAAAUUCAGUGGUGGAACUGAUGUCUAUCGCUCUUGGGAAGUUCGACUCUUAAAGUAGAGAGACUAAUUGACAGAGACAGUGGUGAGCCUGUGGCAGGGCUUCAGCAGCAAACCCCUUUCUGUUAAUGCAGCCGGAUGCUGAGGUUCUGAAGCCCACUGUUGCUGAAUGACGAGGAGCCUCAUUUCAGAGGAUGACUUCCCCAAGGAUCAUGAAGGGCCAAUCUCAUCAGACACUCAAUGAAGUCCAGUUCUGUGGGACAUCUGCCCAAUCACUAAUGUUACUGCGAAUAACAAACUCCUGGAGAUUUCCCUGAUUACCAUCAUUUCUCUCUCUGAUCUGCAGUUUUAGGGUUACCAGUCUCUUGGAUGCUUGCACUGGGAAACUUGCCUCUGCUCUCAGUACAAUCUCCUUCCUGAAGGAGCUGGACCAGGGAAAAAGCUCCUUCACAGACCGAUCUGUCCCUGCUCUGGAAAAUCUCAUUUGA